rnacentral:lncRNA from 1 species
CUCUCAGUCCACUUUCGCUUACGAUGGGGCGACUCUUGUCCAUCGUCACCUCACCGGGAAACUUUUCCUGCCGGGCCAGUUAAUGGUCCCCUGUACCAUCCCCAUCCUGAGUGACUACUAAGCAGCCGCAGCGACUCGGGGUUGCUCCGUGACCACGUUACUCAGUUAACCUUCUUGUUCCCUGGAGAGGCGGAGCUGAAUGGCCCGGACGGGGUUUCUCCAUGUUUCCCAGGCUGGUCUCAAACUCCUGGACUCAAGCAAUCUGCCCACCUUGCCUCCCAAAAUGCUCCUCCAAAAAAGGAGUGUGCCGCCACACCCAGCCUGAGCAACUUUUGUUUUUAAGUAUAAACUGAGAGAGAAGACUGCCCAAGUUCUGGCCUAUAGACAGAAGACUUCUAACAGAAAAGAAGAAAGCUGAAAACACACUGAGGAUUAUGGGAGAGGGGCAAGUGCAUGAAGCUUCUCAAUGACAUACAGACACUCUAAAAGCUCAAGAGAUCAAUUAUUCAACUUCAAGAACUGAAAUUUGAACACAGAUUUUGAGCUUCCAAAUCAGGAGAAAAAGAAGUGUUCUAUAAGAAGUUUGGACAAGACUCUGCAAGAAGUUAAGAGGUCCUUAAAGGCAACUGUGAAUUAACGGAGACUAGUUUUGAGAAAAUCAGUCCUGAUUUGUUUCUCCUGGAGUUUUCUUCUUUAUGUGAUCCUUCAUAAAAGCUGCUAAUAUGGGAAAGAUUGAAAUCAGCAAGUUUCUGGCUGUAAGCUAAAAGAGGCUCUUGAAUCAUAUUUCCGCCUGCUUAGCAAAUUUCUCUUGCGACAAUUGGAUGUUAUUUGGGGUUCCAUACUAGCAGGAAGAAGUACAAGCAAAGCUAAGUCAUUUUGAGAAUAAAUAUUAUCUCUCUAUAUA